GGCUAAAAAUUUCAUCCAUUUCUACUGUUAAAAAAUAGUGUGGCUGACAGAAUAACCAGACAAUUACACCUGGAAUGCCACAUGCACCCCAUUCUGACAUACAAGGACCAAUUUUUACUAGUAGAAAUGGAUGUAAUUUCUAACA
rfam:Gossypium hirsutum cultivar TM-1 chromosome 24, whole genome shotgun sequence